GGAAAAAACCAGGAAGGACACUCCCCACAGGUUCCAGAAGCAGAUCUCUGCCAACAGCUUAAGUUCAGACUUCUAGCCUCCAGAACAAUGAGAAUGAAUUUCUUUUGUGCCUGAGGAGGCUGCUGUUUAUUAGUUUGAAAGAAUCUUGUUUGACCUGUAAGAAAAACUGCCAUGAGACCACAGUUAGGACAAGGAACUGAAGAAUGG
rnacentral:lncRNA from 1 species